rnacentral:rRNA from 1 species
CGAAAGCUUGACCGAGCGACGCCGUGUGCGGGAUGAAGGCCUUCGGGUUGUAAACCGCUGUCGUAGGGGAGGAAGGCUCCGUGAAGAACGGGGUUUGACCUAUCCUAGGAGGAAGGACGGGCUAAGUACGUGCCAGCAGCCGCGGUAAUACGUACCGUCCUAACGUUAUUCGGAAUUACUGGGCUUAAAGGGUACGUAGGCGGCGCUGUCAGUCGGGUGUGAAAUCCCUCGGCUCAACCGAGGAACUGCGCCCGAUACUGCAGUGCUUGAGGGAGACAGAGGUAAGCGGAACUGAUGGUGGAGCGGUGAAAUGCGUUGAUAUCAUCAGGAACACCAGUGGCGAAAGCGGCUUACUGGGUCUCUUCUGACGCUGAGGUACGAAAGCUAGGGGAGCGAAGGGGAUUAGAUACCCCCGUAGUCCUAGCUGUAAACGUUGAGCACUUGAUCGUGGGGCCCCCCAUAGCCUCUCGGUCGUAGCGAAAGUGUUAAGUGCUCCGCCUGGGGAGUAUGGUCGCAAGGCUG